rnacentral:rRNA from 1 species
CCUACGGGAGGCUGCAGUGGGGAAUAUUGGGCAAUGGGCGCAAGCCUGACCCAGCAACGCCGCGUGAAGGAAGAAGGCUUUCGGGUUGUAAACUUCUUUUGUCAGGGACGAAGCAAGUGACGGUACCGGACGAAUAAGCAACGGCUAACGACGGGCCAGCAGCCGCGGUAAUACGUAGGUGGCAAGCGUUAGCCGGAUUUACGGGGUGUAAAGGGCGGGUCGGCGGGACUGAAAGUCAGAUGUGAAAACCCCGGGCUCAACCUGUGGCCUGCAUUUGAAACUGUAGUUCUUGAGUACUGGAGAGGCAGCCGGAAUUCCUCGUGUAGCGGUGAAAUGCGUAGAUAUUAGGCGGAACCCCAGUGGCGAAGGCGGUCUGCUGGACAGCACCUGACGCUGAGGCGCGAAAGCGUGGGGAGCAAACAGGAUUAGAUACCCCUGUAGUC